rnacentral:rRNA from 1 species
CAUGCAAGUCGAACGGUUCCGGAGUAGCAAUACUUCGGGAUAGUGGCAAACGGGCGAGUAACACGUGGGUCAUCUCCCCCCGAGUGAGGAAUAAGCUCUCGAAAGGGGGUCUAAUACCGCAUGACGCCUCAAGACAGAUUGUCUUGGGACCAAAGCCGUAAGGCGCUUGGGGAUGAGCCUGCGUCCUAUUAGCUAGUUGGUAGGGUAACGGCCUACCAAGGCGAUGAUGGGUAGCCGGCCUGAGAGGGUGUCCGGCCACACUGGGACUGAGACACGGUCCAGACUCCUACGGGAGGCAGCAGUGGGGAAUCUUGCGCAAUGGGGGAAACCUUGACGCAGCAACGCCGCGUGGGUGAUGAAGGCCUUCGGGUCGUAAAGCCCUGUCAGGCGGGAAGAAUUGUGUCGAUGCUAAUACCAUCGAUGCGUGACGG